GACGAACGCUGGCGGCGUGCUUAACACAUGCAAGUCGAACGGAAAGGCCCUGCUUUUGUGGGGUGCUCGAGUGGCGAACGGGUGAGUAACACGUGAGUAACCUGCCCUUGACUUUGGGAUAACUUCAGGAAACUGGGGCUAAUACCGGAUAGGAGCUCCUGCUGCAUGGUGGGGGUUGGAAAGUUUCGGCGGUUGGGGAUGGACUCGCGGCUUAUCAGCUUGUUGGUGGGGUAGUGGCUUACCAAGGCUUUGACGGGUAGCCGGCCUGAGAGGGUGACCGGCCACAUUGGGACUGAGAUACGGCCCAGACUCCUACGGGAGGCAGCAGUGGGAAUUAUUGCACAAUGGGCGGAAGCCUUAUGCAGCAACGCCGCGUGCGGGAUGACUGCCUUCGGGUUGUAAACCGCUUUCGCCUGUGACGAAGCGUGAGUGACGGUAAUGGGUAAAGAAGCACCGGCUAACUACGUG
rnacentral:rRNA from 1 species